rnacentral:rRNA from 1 species
UGCAACCCGACUCCGUGAAGCUGGAUUCGCUAGUAAUCGCGCAUCAGCCAUGGCGCGGUGAAUACGUUCCCGGGCCUUGUACACACCGCCCGUCAAGCCAUGGGAGCCGGGGGUGCUUGAAGUGCGUCGCCGCGAGGCGCGCCCUAGAGCAAAACCGGUGACUGGGGCUAAGUCGUAACAAGGUACC